rnacentral:miRNA from 1 species
GAAGGAGGAUGAUCAUGAUGAUGAUGUUGAUGAUGAUCACGAAGGAAUGUUAAGGUACGUAUGGUAUUAUCGUCAUCAUCAUCAUCAUCAUCAUCAUCAUCAUCA